AUGCUGGAGGUAUCAGAAGUGCGAAUGCUGACAUAAGUAACGAUAAAGCGGGUGAAAAGCCCGCUCGCCGGAAGACCAAGGGUUCCUGUCCAACGUUAAUCGGGGCAGGGUGAGUCGACCCCUAAGGCGAGGCCGAAAGGCGUAGUCGAUGGGAAACAGGUUAAUAUUCCUGUACUUGGUGUUACUGCGAAGGGGGGACGGAGAAGGCUAUGUUGGCCGGGCGACGGUUGUCCCGGUUUAAGCGUGUAGGCUGGUUUUCCAGGCAAAUCCGGAAAAUCAAGGCUGAGGCGUGAUGACGAGGCACUACGGUGCUGAAGCAACAAAUGCCCUGCUUCCAGGAAAAGCCUCUAAGCAUCAGGUAACAUCAAAUCGUACCCCAAACCGACACAGGUGGUCAGGUAGAGAAUACCAAGGCGCUUGAGAGAACUCGGGUGAAGGAACUAGGCAAAAUGGUGCCGUAACUUCGGGAGAAGGCACGCUGAUAUGUAGGUGAAGUCCCUCGCGGAUGGAGCUGAAAUCAGUCGAAGAUACCAGCUGGCUGCAACUGUUUAUUAAAAACACAGCACUGUGCAAACACGAAAGUGGACGUAUACGGUGUGACGCCUGCCCGGUGCCGGAAGGUUAAUUGAUGGGGUUAGCG
rnacentral:rRNA from 1 species